GUUUUUGGUUGUACAUUGUACAAUAGACAUUCCAUUACAUUCAGAGUGUGUGAAAGUUACUCGAGUACCAGGGCGUUUGACAGCCCAUGCAAGCGGUACUCAGAGUCAUAGAUGCACAGGUGUGUGGGGUUUGCGACUUUGUCGACGUGCACAUGUGUCUCCACCAGCACAGACGACCAAGCCGACUUUGAAGUUUCAUUAAUGAUCCUUCCGCAGGUUCACCUACGGAAA
rnacentral:misc_RNA from 1 species